rnacentral:tRNA from 1 species
GUCCCUGUCGUCCAACGGCUCAGGAUCUCGGACUUUCAAUCCGAGGACGCCGGUUCGAUUCCGGCCGGGGACA